rnacentral:tmRNA from 1 species
GGGGCUGUUAUUGGUUUCGACGGAAUCUUUAAGGGCUUAAGUGGCAAGUAGGCGGCGGUCUUUAAUACGCAGACAAAAAUAAAUAACAAAAAUAAUAACUAUGCUUACGCACCAGCUUUUGCUGCUGCUUAAUUAAUAAUAAUGUAAGCGCUUCUUAAUUAGUUUUACUCACUGACUUUUUAAGAGGCUCAUUUAGGUGAGUUAUAUUGCUUAUUUUGUUUAGGGAUAGGUAAUGAAUUUAACUAAACUCGUUAACAAGUAGGUGUGUUGGCCUCCUUUACUUGUUAAUUAAAAUUAAGUGCUAACUAAACUUGUAGAAGCUUAAGAAACUUGGCUUUCGGACACGAGUUCAAAUCUCGUCAGCUCCACCA